GAUGAAGAACUUAGCAAAAUGCGAUAAGUAAUGUGAAUUGCAGAAUUCAGUGAAUCAUCGAAUCUUUGAACGCACAUUGCGCCCGCCAGUAUUCUGGCGGGCAUGCCUGUUCGAGCGUCAUUUCAACCCUCAAGCACAGCUUGGUGUUGGGACUCGCGUUAAUUCGCGUUCCUCAAAUUGAUUGGCGGUCACGUCGAGCUUCCAUAGCGUAGUAGUAAAACCCUCGUUACUGGUAAUCGUCGCGGCCACGCCGUUAAACCCCAACUUCUGAAUGUUGACCUCGGAUCAGGUAGGAAUACCCGCUGAACUUAAGCAUAUCAAUAAGCGGAGGA
rnacentral:misc_RNA from 1 species